GUGGGGAAUAUUGGGCAAUGGGGGAAACCCUGACCCAGCGACGCCGCGUGAGGGAAGACGGCCUUCGGGUUGUAAACCUCUUUUGUACGGGAAGAAGGAAGUGACGGUACUGUACGAAUAAGUCCCGGCUAACUACGUGCCAGCAGCCGCGGUAAUACGUAGGGGACGAGCGUUGUCCGGAAUUACUGGGCGUAAAGGGCGCGCAGGCUGUGCUGCAAGUCAGCUGUGAAAUGUCUGGGCUUAACCCGGGCAUGCGGUUGAGACUGCAGUGCUGGAGUGCUGUAGAGGCAAGUGGAAUUCCCAGUGUAGCGGUGAAAUGCGUAGAUAUUGGGAAGAACACCGGUGGCGAAGGCGACUUGCUGGGCAGCAACUGACGCUGAGGCGCGAAAGCUAGGGGAGCGAACGGGAUUAGAAACCCCUGUAGUC
rnacentral:rRNA from 1 species